rnacentral:rRNA from 1 species
GCUAGUAAUCGCGGAUCAGAAUGCCGCGGUGAAUACGUUCCCGGGUCUUGUACACACCGCCCGUCACACCAUGGGAGUCGAUAACGCCCGAAGUCAGUGACCCAACCGAAAGGAGGGUGCUGCCGAAGGCGGGAUGGAUAACUGGGGUGAAGUCGUAACAAGGUAGC